rnacentral:sRNA from 1 species
CUCGCCCUGGAGAGAUCACUGGAAGAGAAGGAGCGCGGACACGAGGCUGUACUGACGAAGCGAUCGCCGCCGCUCGCAGGGGCUUAUAAAUCGUGCCCUCUUUCGUUAAGAGGGAAACUGAGGCCCAGGGCAGACAGUGACUCGGCAAGGGUCACUUAGGCAUUAGUGAUGAGUUGCCUUGAGGUAACAGGAGAAUCCCCAGAGGGCAGGUGUAAAGGCUUCCUUUUCUCCCCAAAUGCCGCAUUCUUCACAGUUCAACCCUGUUGGAUCAUUCCUGUCUCCUUAUAUAUACAGGAGGCCCAUGUGUUCCCAUAGAAGCACCAGUUGACUGUUGUGUGCCCAAGUUUUAGAUUGAGCUCUUUAGCCUUGGUUGUUCUGAAGACUUAUACUUCUGAUUGGACUACCGAAUGCAUGUAUCUAUCUGAGAAGAACAACUAACAAACUAUGGUUAUUCAACUUUGGGUAUUUGGCAGACAUUUUCUUGAAAAUCAACCAACAUUGCCAAGUAAUUCUUCCUGUUGACUCCUGAUUUUUGG